UUUUCAACUAAGGAACCCACACAGUUUACCUCGAUUUUUUUUCAACUGAUGAUCCCACAAACAACUUGCAUAGCCAAAGCACCAGAAAUACAUCUGUUUACCCAGAGUUCUAUAACUCUUUCCUUAUGCACAUGAUGUCAACCUUCAAAUGAGAAGGAACCCAGCCAAUGCAAGCUGGUCUGAGAAGUAAUUUUGGAGUCUAGGUCAAGGUCGGGAAGACACCAGACUAGAAGAUUCAAGUAAAUCAACUGAAAAGAACUUCACAGCGAUGUAAAUUAUAGCCACGUCCCAGAGGGGCCAACUUGUCAACUUUGGAGUGUACCAUGAAGAGAAAAUGACAAGCCAGAGAAAAGGAAGUUUUCUCGAAGGCCAAGCUCUCACAAGGCACAUUCAAGAAAUGAGAAGGAGUGGUUGUAAAGAAACUUCUAGAUCUGCAGCUGUGUUCCCAAGUGUCUCGAUGAAACGCUGAGCAUGGACAAGGAUUCAACCUGAAAAACUCCACCCUUCAGCCUUCUCCUGACAAAGUUUUCCUCCUAACCGGUUAAUCAGUGAUAGAAAAAAAAAUCAAAUAACUGACUUUUUUCAAAUCAAUUUCUCAAUGAUAACAAUAUAAAUGAAAAAGACAACAUUAUAUUCAAGAUUAUAAAUUCAUUAGUUAGCUAUGUGUCACAGGAAAACAGGUUUAAGAAACCUAAGGUCACACUGGACAUAAUAUCGUGGAUGCACAUUAAACAGUAAUCUGCAGACUGACGUGAGAAAGAGGAAUAGAAUACACAUUAAAGCUUUGAAAACCUA